rnacentral:lncRNA from 1 species
GAUUCUAAUUCCCAUCACGAACCCAAUGCAUCGGGUAAUAUCACCAUUUCAAUCCAUUCUAAUACCGAUUUUAAUUGUGAACAAAACACACCCCAAGUAUAUUCCUUGAAAGAAGACUGCCAUUGCUAUCAGAACUUAUAUAUAAUAAUAUAAAAUAAGAGAAACCAUUAUCUAUGUGUGGAUGAAUAACUUGACAUUAUAACUUUCCUUUUUCGUUCUCUGGACU